rnacentral:lncRNA from 10 species
CGUUGACUUUGGACCACAUGUUUUUGCCUCCUGGUCCCAAAAUGGCUGCUGGCUCUCCAGUCUUCACAUCUGAAUCCAAUGCAGAAAAAAAGAGGAUCAAGGCAAAAGCUUUGUCUUAAGGAGAUUUCAUCUUUGUACUGGUUAAGAAAUGUGCUGCCCAACUACUGUGUGCUGGAUGCUGAAGAUAUACUGAUGGACAAAGAUAUACUGAUGGCUUUGAAGUUGAAACCUAAAGGCUGAGGAGGAGUUAGCCAGGAGUACUUGGCCCUGGUGCACCCCCCUGCCACUGAGGUGGGGUUGCUAAUGGCUCACCACUGACCCUCUCCAGGAAAGCAUCUGCCCAGGCAGGGAGCCACUUCACCCAGAUUUCCUGAGAAAUUCGGUGUUCCUCCCACUACCACCCUGAAGGGCAGAAUUUAGUCAAUGACUGAUGUGAGGGUUCAAAAGCCCAGCCUCCCUGCUUGAAGGUGGGAAAACUGGUGCCAUCCACUCUCCAGAGCUCCCCAUGGGGUCAGGCUGAGGCUGGACUCUUCCUGAAUGUACAGCAAUGCUCAGCCUCUUCUCUCACUCUCUACCAGCUUGCUCCUAGGAACCAUUCCUCAGAAAGCCACUUGUACAAGUAUCUCCAUGUCCAUCUCUUUUUGGGGAACUUAUCUUAAGACAUCAGGUGACCAAAUGCUCCAGCACAAAGAACCACAUAACAAAGGCCCCAAGAGAGAAUACAGGAAGUUCAGGAGAGCUGCAAGCAAUUCAGGGUGGCUGGAUUGAGCAAUGAGGGUGCUUCUAGGGUGCUGAGCCUAGAAGCUACCAACCCAUGCUGCAAGGCCCAGAGUUUCCACCCCUGCUGCUCUCCUGACCCAGGCCUGGUGAGCUAUCAGUUGGAACCUGACUCAUCCCUCUGUACUGCCUUGGUUUCCACAGAUACAAGCAAGCCCAGCCACAAGAGAGGGAGAUUUUGAAAA